rnacentral:rRNA from 1 species
GCCUAAGGAGGCUUAAAAUACCCUAAAGGUAACAGAUCCCAUUUGAUAUUGGAAGCUAAGCACAGUCAUCUCUGGUUAGUAUUUACAUGGGAGACCACCAAUAAAUAUCAGAUGCUAUUGGCC